CAGCAGCCGCGGUAAUACCGGCGGCCCGAGUGGCGGUCACUAUUAUUGGGCUUAAAACGUCCGUAGCCGGGUUGGGAAGUCCUCCGGGAAAUCUGGCCGCUUAACGGUCAGAAUGCCGGAGGAUACUCCCAGCCUAGGGAGCGGGAGAGGCCGAGGGGAUUCCCGGGGUAGGGGUGAAAUCCUAUAAUCCCGGGAGGACCACCUGUGGCGAAGGCGCUCGGCUGGAACGCGUCCGACGGGGAGGGACGAAGGCCAGGGGAGCAAACCGGAUUAGAUACCCGGGUAGUCCUGGCUGUAAACGAUGCGGACUUUGUGUCGGACAAGCUAUGAGCUUGUCCGGUGCCGGAGGGAAACCGUUAAGUCCGCCGCCUGGGGAGUACGGCCGCAAGGCUGAAACUUAAAGGAAUUGGCGGG
rnacentral:rRNA from 1 species